AUCACACAUUGAGUACCUGACUUUCAUGUGAAAUCUGAUACUUCUUAAAUAACGACGAAUCCCCUUUUCCCAUUUCUUUUUUGACCAGAAGAGUAAAAAAAUAAAUAAAAUGGUGUCAUCCCCUUAAGUCAGGCUCCCCUCACUUUCACAUUCACGUCUCUCUCUCUCUCUCUCUCUCUCUCGAGCUGCCAUCCCUCUCCCUUUCUCUCUCUCUCUCUCUCCCCAUGGUCUUCCACUAAAAAUACUUCAGCCAUGAGUUUCUUUUCAAGCCACCACCACCGGUUGUGAAGAAAAGAUUUUGGGAAGAGAGGGACUCAUUUGGCCAAGCAAGGAAUUUGAGGUUCCGAGAUUUUUGAUGAUGGACCUAGUGAUGGGAUUGGUUGAUUUCAUGGUGCACAGUUGAGGUAAAAUUGAUUGGCCUUCUGAGGUCUUUUGAAAACAAAAGCAGGUUGAUUUGGAGAAGGAAGAGUUGUUUCACAACUUAGCAUGAGAAGAAUUGCCAACAUUGUUGGUCGAUCCGUUGCAUCUUCUUGCACACAUAAGAGCCCAAUUUGAAUGCAUCUCAAGACUUCAUGAGAAACAAUUGACUCAAUAAUCGAUGAAUCAACUAUAUCCAAGGCUCUAUCUUCUGUCCAUAGUUCCCAGACCUGUAUGGUUUAUAGCAUUAUCCAAAAGGGGUUGUAUUAUAAAUGCAAAUGGAAAAAGAUUGUUGUUUUUUUGCUACUUACAUGCCCUAUCAAAGUUAGGGAAGGGUGUGUUUGAUAAGAAAUGUUAUUCUUCUUGCCACUAAUGAUCUCCAACAAUACGACACCAAAACUAAAGACAUCUGAUUUUGUUGAGAAUUUUCCAAAUAUUACAUACUCUGGUGACAUAUAACCACUGCAUGUGAAUAGUAUUAAAAAUAGAGUUAAAGUUUGCAUAGGCCUUCAUUUUCUAUAUGUGUGGAAAGUGUGCAAGGCUUUGUGUGCAUAUGCAUACUUACUAUGUUCCGAUAACUCUAGUUGUCUUGUCUUGAAUUUGGUCCCCUUUGAAUAUACGAGCUAUCCCGAAAUCUGAAAUUCUAGGAUUCAUCUCACCAUCUAGGAGAACAUUGCUAGUUUUAAGAUCCCUAUGUAUAAUUCUUAAUCUUGAGUCUUGAUGAAGAUACAAAAUCCCACGAGUGAUCCCAAUAAUGAUUUCAAGGCGUUUCCCCCAAUUAAGCAAUGAACUUCUU